AUACUUUAAUAUAAGAUGUAUAUUAAUUUUUGAUAUUAAAAGUGGAGGUUUGAAUCUUUAAGUAUAA
rnacentral:tRNA from 1 species